CAAACCCACAGAUGUGUUUAAUUAAAAAAAAAUAGAUCUUUGGGCUUCACAUGUGGUUGAGUUGGGCACCCUUUGUGGGAUUGGAAAGGUUUCAAGGUGACUGAGGCUGUUCCCUGGCCUCGGGCAUGCCCAUACUUGGGUGCUGGCAUUGGUGCUGGAUGCUGGGAGAGGAUAAAUUCACCAUGCACCAGGGGCAGGUGGGUUCAGCUGCACCAGCCCCACCAGCUCUCCCAGCCCCUUCCACCAACCCGCACUAGCAUUAUUGUGCUGGCUCCUGAUGCUGUGAUCGUGAGCCGGGGGUGCUGGGAUGUUCACCAACACUUUCCUUUUUAAUAGCAGGGAAACCUUUUCCUUCACCCUGAGUCAGCAGAAAGGAUUUCCCUGGGUUUCCCUGUUGUGGCUUUGGCUGCACUCUCUGCCCCAAAGGAGCGGGUGAAAGCCGCCAAUGCCACGCUGCCUUCCUGGGAAGGGCCGGCAUCUCCCUUGUCGCAGGAAAACACGCUUCCAGCAUAGCCCUGCGAGUCUCCAGGGACAAGCUGGAAGGAGAGAUUUGCUUGAACUUCUGUGGUUUGCCUCCUCCUCUUUCGGCGUGAUGCUCGCCAGCUGGCAGCACCACAGUUGCUCUCCUCCUCUUUCUUUCCCACUUUUUUCCUUCCCUUCUUUUUUUCCUCUAUUUGAAGCUUGCCUAAUGGUUUCUCACCACAAACACCACUGGCAGUGCCUGGGAAACAGGUUUGCCAGGAGAGGAGCUGCACUGAGAGCUCAGGAACGUCCUGCAGCAGCACUGUGGGUCCUGUGUCCUGGCCUCUAAGCUGAUGUUGACCACGGAUGGGGGAUUUGCCAGUGCUGGAAAACCUGUGUGCGGUUUGUAGUUCUCCCUGAGCCAGGUAACAGCUGUUUCGUUUAAUAGUCAAGAAAACGGUUGUGUGUCUGAGCACCAGAGCACUAGAUGAGGUGAGAUGAUGCCAGCACUUGCUGUUCCCAACAUCCUGCUGCUGAGGGGUGCCCCGGGACGCUGCUCGUGGGGCUCAGUGAAAGAACAAGCUCUGAGUUAACUUUUUUGGGGUUGCGAGGAUGGGCCAGCGCUGGCUGCUCUGGUAAAGCAGAGGUGCCCGUGCCGCACCGCCGGCGGGGGGUGGUUUGGCUGCACCAGUUCCGCUUUGCAGAGCAAAGCCCCUGGACCGCAAGGCAACACGUAAGCCACAGGAGCGUCCCGAAUGAUUUGCAGCCUCGCACCACGCUGGAGCUGCGUGUCAACUCCCCAAAAGCACUUCCAAGGGAACACAAGCGGUGGCCGCCAGCCGGGGCGCGGGCGCUGGGGUCCAGCCCAGGUGCCCUGCGAGGCACGUGUCGAUCGUGGGCUCUGAGCUCAGUUCCGUUCACCGCGGGCCGUGCCCGGGCAGCUCCCGCGGCAGGUCCCGGCCGGCCGAGGCGCUCGGACCCGCGGCUCUGUCGCGGCGCACGACGCGGAUCCGGCCCCGUGGUCCCGCCGUGUCGGGCGCGUGAGCGGCUGUCGCACAGCGGCGGAUGCGCACCAGGACCCCCGGCCCGGGCGUGCGGGGCGCUGCGGGACGCGGGAGGUGCGGGGCGCGCGAGUGCUCUCGGCUCCGCGGCGUGCGUAGGGCC
ensembl:lncRNA